UGUUUCAUGGAAGAAUUCAUGUUUCUUUAUCUUCUUAUUCUAGUCCUAAAGAAUAUUCUUACAUAUAAUAAAGAAUUCCCAUUUGAUGUUCAGCCUGUCCCAUUAAGAAGAAUUUUGGCACCCAGUGAAGAAGAGAAUUUGGAAUUGAAGAAGAUGAAGAAGAGGGCAGUGCUGGAGCAGGGUCUCCUGAUUCUUUUCCUU